GAGAAUAAUGUGUAGGGGGUGUACGCCGGCCUUAUAGCGAAGGUCGCCGUACACUUGGGACAAGUUGACACGUCGAUAUGUUUUGAAUAGGUUCAGUCGACCCUGCGGGUACGACUUAGUCCUAUGUUAGGAGAGGCUUCGAGGGGGUCGUUAGCCAAGUGCUUGGGCCGAACUCGUCUUCCAAGGUCACCUAUGGCGAGAGAUCUCUAGGAGCCGCCUCGGACUUGGGCCGAACUUGUCUUCCCAAGUAGCGAGGUUGGGAUACCCUCGAGACUCUAACCCGAUCCUUCUACUUCGAGUCGAGGUCGUACUAGACGGCCCGGAACCUCGAAACUAGGCUUCCCAAGUCGCGUCCCCGAGGUCGAGUCGAGACUAGGCUCGACCCAAGCACUCGAGAGCGGGCUCCUUGGGUUGCUCUAGCCCUCUCCCUUUUGAUCUUAU
rnacentral:lncRNA from 1 species